CAGUAGCCGCGGUAAUACGUAGGGGGCGAGCGUUGUCCGAAGUUACUGGGCGUAAAGAGCGCGCAGGCGGGUUCUUAAGUGAGGGGUGAAAGUCCGAGGCUCAACCUCGGAACUGCCUUUCAUACUGGGAACCUUGAGUGCGGGAGAGGAGAGUGGAAUUCCACGUGUAGCGGUGAAAUGCGUAGAGAUGUGGAGGAACACCAGUGGCGAAGGCGACUCUCUGGUCUGUAACUGACGCUGAGGGGCGAAAGCGUGGGGAGCGAACAGGAUUAGAUACCCCAGUAGUCCCUGUCUCUUAUAA
rnacentral:rRNA from 1 species